rnacentral:lncRNA from 1 species
CAUUGAGAAAGGCCUGUGUAAGAACCUCCUUCCAGUAGUCUAUGAGUUCCAAACAUGCCAUGUUUACUCCUAGAUCUGUGUCAAGACUUGUGUUUCAGAAAUUCUUCCAUGUCAUGCAACAUGCCUGGCGAGUCCCUUGAAACUCAAGGUCCACUCCCCCUCCAUUUUCCUGCAGAAAGGAACGGGUAUUCAACAGAGAACAACCAAGGAAGACAAAACAAAAUAGACUAAGACAAAGCAAAAGCCCUCAUAUUGAGGCUAGGCAAGGCAAGGCAACCAAAUAGCAGGCAAGAGUCAGAGAGGCACCUGUUUCCAUUGUUAGAAGUCCAACAAAAACACCACACUUAACAUAUGAGCAUAGGACCUGGUGCAGACCCUUGCAGGUCCCAUGCUUGCCACAGUUCCUGUGAGCCUAUUGAACCCUGCUUAGAUGAUUCAGUGUGGGUAGGCCAUGCUCCCCUGCUGUCCUCCACCCUGUCUAACUACUAUAAUCUUUCCUUUCCCUUUUCUGUGGUCCCCAAGCUUCAGGGGAAGGAACUUGAUGGAGAGCUCCAAUUUAGACAUUCUCUGCAUAAUGUCUAGCUGUGGAUUCUGCACCCACUCUGGCGUGCUGCCAAGAGGAGUGGAAGCCUUUCUGAUGAUGACUGGACAAAGAUUAAUCUAUGAGUGUAUCAGAACAUCAACUGGAAUAAUUUCUUUGUGGUUUUGUUUUGUUUUGUUUUAUAUGGCUGGUCCGAUUUGAUUCUACCCUAGGUCUCUGGGCCAUCCAGUGUCUAGUUCCUGGGCAUCCUGGCAGUACAGGGAAGGAGUUUCCACUCAUGGAAUGUGCCUCUAGUUAAACCAGACUUUGGGUGACCGCUUCUGUACAUUCUGUGCCACCAUCGUCCUAGCAUAUUUUGCAGACAGGACAGAUCGUAGGUCAUAGGUUUUCGGGCUGGGUUGAUGUCCAUGUUUCUCUUUCCAAAACCUGCAAUGUAUCUUCCUAGACCAAUAGGACUAGAAUGUAGAGGUGAAAGCGACUUGGAGGCACCAGCUUGACCUCUCUAUUUUCAAUGAACUAUGUGAAUGUUGUAUUCAGCAAUUCGGUCCCUGCUAUCAGUUUGCAGAGAGCAAUUGUCUUAGUCAGGGUUUCUAUUCCUGCACAAACAUCAUGACCAAGAAGCAAGUUGGGGAAGAAAGGGUUUA